rnacentral:rRNA from 1 species
UACGAAGGGGGCUAGCGUUGCUCGGAAUCACUGGGCGUAAAGGGUGCGUAGGCGGGUCUUUAAGUCAGGGGUGAAAUCCUGGAGCUCAACUCCAGAACUGCCUUUGAUACUGAGGAUCUUGAGUUCGGGAGAGGUGAGUGGAACUGCGAGUGUAGAGGUGAAAUUCGUAGAUAUUAGGAAGAACACCAGUGGCGAAGGCGGCUCACUGGCCCGGUACUGACGCUCAUGUGCGAAAGCGUGGGGAGCAAACAGG